AUGUCUAGUGAUUGGGAAGACUUAUUUCCUCUGGUUUCAGUGAGAAAAUUGGUCACAGAACUAUUUGACCAUAAUCCUUUACUCCUCUCCUCGGGGGACAUGAACAAAAAAGCCCCCAAACCUAGAUAGUUUAGGUUUGAUUUGGCCUGGCUUAAGAACGAGGAGUUUUUGUUGAUCGUUGAGAGAAUCUGGUCCAAGGCAGUCAAGUCCAAGGACCCUACAGAUAUACUCAAUAUUAAGCUUAAAAGAUUCAAAAACUUCUUCAAAGGGUGGGGCUUGCAUAAAUAUGGUCAUGAGAAGAAAAGAAAAGAGGAGCUUAGAGUUGAGUUGUUCACCCUGGAAGAAAUGGAAGAAUAG
rnacentral:rRNA from 1 species